rnacentral:rRNA from 1 species
UAAUACGUAGGGACCUAGCGUUAUCCGGAUUUAUUGGGCGUAAAGCGCGCGUAGGCGGCCACACACGUCGGUUGUGAAAGCUCGGAGCUCAACUCUGAGAGGCCUUCCGAUACGGUGUGGCUAGAGGUAGGUAGGGGAGAGCGGAAUUCCUGGUGUAGCGGUGAAAUGCGCAGAUAUCAGGAGGAACACCGGUGGCGAAGGCGGCUCUCUGGGCCUGUCCUGACGCUGAGGCGCGAAAGCUGGGGGAGCGAACAGGAUUAGAUACCCUGGUAGUCCCAGCCGUAAACGUUGGGUGCUAGGUGUGGGGAGGUCUUCAACCCUUUCCGUGCCGCAGCUAACGCAUUAAGCACCCCGCCUGGGGAGUACGGCCGCAAGGCUA